CCCCUAGAUGUUCUGGGCCGCACGCGCGCUACACUGAACAGUUCAACAAGUCUUAACCUUGGCCGAUAGGUCUGGGUAAUCUUUGAACGCUGUUCGUGAUUGGGAUAGACCUUUGCAAUUAUGGGUCUUCAACGAGGAAUUCCUAGUAAACGCAAGUCAUCAGCUUGCAUUGAUUACGUCCCUGCCCUUUGUACACACCGCCCGUCGCACCUACCGAUUGAAUGGUCCGGUGAAAUCUCGGGACGGCGGCUUGGUCGCUUGCGUCCGACUGCUGAAACUUGAUUAAACCAUAUCAUUUAGAGGAAGUUAAAGUCGUAACA
rnacentral:rRNA from 1 species